rnacentral:rRNA from 1 species
UGGGGAAUAUUGCACAAUGGGCGAAAGCCUGAUGCAGCAACGCCGCGUGCGGGAUGACGGCCUUCGGGUUGUAAACCGCUUUCAGCAGGGACGAGGGUUUUCUGACGGUACCUGCAGAAGAAGCACCGGCUAACUACGUGCCAGCAGCCGCGGUGAUACGUAGGGUGCGAGCGUUGUCCGGAAUUAUUGGGCGUAAAGAGCUUGUAGGGCGCUCCGUUGCGUCGGAAGUGAAAACUCAGGGCUUAACCCUGAGCCUGCUUUCGAUACGGGCGGACUUGAGGGAUGUAGGGGAGAACGGAAUUCCUGGUGGAGCGGUGGAAUGCGCAGAUAUCAGGAGGAACACCAGUGGCGAAGGCGGUUCUCUGGACAUUUCCUGACGCUGAGAAGCGAAAGCGUGGGGAGCAAAACAGGCUUAGAUACCCUGGUAGUCCACGCCGUAAACGGUGGGCACUAGGUGUGGGACCCAUUCCACGGGUUCCGUGCCGUAGCUAACGCAUUAAGUGCCCCGCCUGGGGAGUACGGCCGCAAGGCUAAAACUCAAAUGAAUUG